rnacentral:rRNA from 1 species
GACGAACGCUGGCGGCGUGCCUAAUACAUGCAAGUCGAGCGAGCUUGCCUAGAUGAAUUUGGUGCUUGCACCAGAUGAAACUAGAUACAAGCGAGCGGCGGACGGGUGAGUAACACGUGGGUAACCUGCCCAAGAGACUGGGAUAACACCUGGAAACAGAUUCUAAUACCGGAUAACAACACUAGACGCAUGUCUAGAGUUUAAAAGAUGGUUCUGCUAUCACUCUUGGAUGGACCUGCGGUGCAUUAGCUAGUUGGUAAGGCAACGGCUUACCAAGGCAAUGAUGCAUAGCCGAGUUGAGAGACUGAUCGGCCACAUUGGGACUGAGACACGGCCCAAACUCCUACGGGAGGCAGCAGUAGGGAAUCUUCCACAAUGGACGCAAGUCUGAUGGAGCAACGCCGCGUGAGUGAAGAAGGGUUUCGGCUCGUAAAGCUCUGUUGGUAGUGAAGAAAGAUAGAGGUAGUAACUGGCCUUUAUUUGACGGUAAUUACUUAGAAAGUCACGGCUAACUACGUG